rnacentral:rRNA from 1 species
GACGAACGCUGGCGGCGUGCCUAAUACAUGCAAGUAGAACGCUGAAGGAGGAGCUUGCUCUUCUGGAUGAGUUGCGAACGGGUGAGUAACGCGUAGGUAACCUGCCUGGUAGCGGGGGAUAACUAUUGGAAACGAUAGCUAAUACCGCAUAACAGUAGAUGUCGCAUGACAUUUGCUUAAAAGGUGCAAUUGCAUCACUACCAGAUGGACCUGCGUUGUAUUAGCUAGUUGGUGAGGUAACGGCUCACCAAGGCAACGAUACAUAGCCGACCUGAGAGGGUGAUCGGCCACACUGGGACUGAGACACGGCCCAGACUCCUACGGGAGGCAGCAGUAGGGAAUCUUCGGCAAUGGACGGAAGUCUGACCGAGCAACGCCGCGUGAGUGAAGAAGGUUUUCGGAUCGUAAAGCUCUGUUGUAAGAGAAGAACGAGUGUGAGAGUGGAAAGUUCACACUGUGACGGUAUCUUACCAGAAAGGGACGGCUAACUACGUGCCAGCAGCCGCGGUAAUACGUAGGUCCCGAGCGUUGUCCGGAUUUAUUGGGCGUAAAGCGAGCGCAGGCGGUUAGAUAAGUCUGAAGUUAAAGGCUGUGGCUUAACCAUAGUACGCUUUGGAAACUGUUUAACUUGAGUGCAAGAGGGGAGAGUGGAAUUCCAUGUGUAGCGGUGAAAUGCGUAGAUAUAUGGAGGAACACCGGUGGCGAAAGCGGCUCUCUGGCUUGUAACUGACGCUGAGGCUCGAAAGCGUGGGGAGCAAACAGG